AGUCGAGCGAGUCUGCCUUGAAGAUCGGAGUGCUUGCACUCUGUGAAACAAGAUACAGGCUAGCGGCGGACGGGUGAGUAACACGUGGGUAACCUGCCUAAGAGAUCGGGAUAACACCUGGAAACAGAUGCUAAUACCGGAUAACAACAGAUGAUGCCUAUCAACUGUUUAAAAGAUGGUUCUGCUAUCACUCUUGGAUGGACCUGCGGUGCAUUAGCUAGUUGGUAGGGUAACGGCCUACCAAGGCGAUGAUGCAUAGCCGAGUUGAGAGACUGAUCGGCCACAUUGGGACUGAGACACGGCCCAAACUUCUACGGGAGGCAGCAGUAGGGAAUCUUCCACAAUGGACGCAAGUCUGAUGGAGCAACGCCGCGUGAGUGAAGAAGGGUUUCGGCUCGUAAAGCUCUGUUGUUGGUGAAGAAGGACAGGGGUAGUAACUGACCUUUGUUUGACGGUAAUCAAUUAGAAAGUCACGGCUAACUACGUGCCAGCAGCCGCGGUAAUACGUAGGUGGCAAGCGUUGUCCGGAUUUAUUGGGCGUAAAGCGAGUGCAGGCGGCUCGAUAAGUCUGAUGUGAAAGCCUUCGGCUCAACCGGAGAAUUGCAUCAGAAACUGUCGAGCUUGAGUACAGAAGAGGAGAGUGGAACUCCAUGUGUAGCGGUGAAAUGCGUAGAUAUAUGGAAGAACACCGGUGGCGAAGGCGGCUCUCUGGUCUGUUACUGACGCUGAGGCUCGAAAGCAUGGGUAGCGAACAGGAUUAGAUACCCUGGUAGUCCAUGCCGUANACGAUGAGUGCUAAGUGUUGGGAGGUUUCCGCCUCUCAGUGCUGCAGCUAACGCAUUAAGCACUCCGC
rnacentral:rRNA from 1 species